rnacentral:rRNA from 1 species
UACGAAGGGUGCAAGCGUUAGUCGGAAUUACUGGGCGUAAAGCGUGCGUAGGUGGUCUCUUAAGUCCGUUGUGAAAGCCCUGGGCUCAACCUGGGAACUGCAGUGGAUACUGAGAAGCUAGAGUGUGUCAGAGGAUGGUGGAAUUCCCGGUGUAGCGGUGAAAUGCGUAGAGCUCGGGAAGAACAUCGGUGGCGAAAGCGCUCUGCUGGACUGCAACUGACACUCAGGGACGAAAGCUAGGGGAGCGAAUGGG